UUUCAUUUCUCUUAUGAUAGGUUGUACAUGAUUUCUAAGCUAUUAAAAGUAUUACAACUAUUUUAUCCGUCAAGGUUUUAGGAUAACUGGUAACUUGUCUAAUUUAUUGAUACGAUGAUAACAGGGUGUUUACGUGCAGGUUGUGUCAGCAACAUCAGCAUUCCACGCGGAGAAAGUUGAAGAAGCAAAGACAACAACUGAAGAAGCAGCCGCCACAGUUGAGGAAGUUGUCGCAGCACCAGAAGUGCCUAAACAAACCGAGACCACGACUACUACUACUACUCCUGCACCUGUCGUCGCGGAUGAGCCAGCAGAGGCAACCAAUGCCGAAGCCCCGGCAGCAGAGGAGGCCAAGGUCACUGAAGAGGAGGUUAAGGCAGAGAGUGUUCCAGAGGAAACUGUGAAGGAAGAAGUUGUGGUACCUGCUGAGGAGCCGGUUGCUGAGAAAUUUUCAGAUGCGCCUGUAGAAAUUGAACCCGAAGCUGUAGUGGAAGCUAAAGCAGAAGCUGAGGAGGUUGUGAAAGAAGAUGCUGUUGCAGAUACUAAUGUGGAGGAGGAGGAGGAGAAGACUACUACUGAGCAAGAUGAAGACAAGGUGGAGGCAGCAGUAGCUGAGGCGGAGGAGGAAACUAAGAAGACCG
rnacentral:lncRNA from 1 species